UCACUCUUGUUUCUCUUCAGAUCGUAUAAAUCUUUCGCCUUUUACUAAAGAUUUCCGUGGGGAGGAACGACAAGAGUAUAUCUCAAUUUUUUUGAUGCUCUGCGAAAGCGGAGCU